CACUCUUUGUUUCUCUUCAUAUUGUACAAAUCUUUCGACUUUUACUAAAGAUUUCCGUGGGGAGGAAAAACAAGAGUUAAGAGCAAUUUCUUGAUGCCUUGCGUAAGCGAGGCU